rnacentral:lncRNA from 1 species
GAUGAAAGGUGACAACUUUUAGAUAAAAUAGUAAGAUAGAAUUGUAGCAACCUUUCCCUCGUGGCUCCCCACUCCUAUAAAUAGGGGAUAGGAGAAUAGAUGAUGAAACAUUCCAAAUUAGAGGAAAAUAAUAAGAAGCAUAGAGGUGAAGGAAGAAGAGGGAAUACGAAGUGUGUGAUACUUGAGAGUAUUUUAAGGAUUUC